rnacentral:tRNA from 1 species
GGGCCCGUAGCUCAGCUUGGUAGAGCAGCAGGCUCAUAACCUGUCGGUCUCGAGUUCAAAUCUCGACGGGCCCACCA